CGUUAGUUGGAUACGCGAAAUAAGGAAAUAAAAUAUGUUACCGUUGCCACAUAAACCGCCUUUAGAAACCUACAUAUAUCAGUAAUCAAUCUGCACUCCCUUCGAUCGUUCUUCUCCAACAGCAUUAGCAAGCUACCCAUGAUAUGUCUCUUCAAGUACCCAUGAGACAGAUUGGAGGCUGACUAAUGAUGAUGAUUUUGAAGUAUCUUUGUUUCCAUAUUGGUCUUUAUGUGCAUGUUUUCUCUCUUUUAUUGCAGUGUGUGCUAUAUAUAGUGGAGGAAAAUACUGAAAGUCAGCUCUUGUCAACCAAUGUUUGGUUUGUUGUAAAUUGCAGUUUGUCUGGUUUGUCCAUUUUUAUUCAUAUAUUCAUGUGCAUUCUAUUUUAUGGGUUUUCCAUUUAUUUCCAGUAAAAUUAAUCUUCUUUGAAGGGUUUUGAUUUUUGAAUGUCAGAGGUUCCUUAUAUAAUUCUUUCCAACUUGAAAAUUAAGGUCAUUGAGUUUCUUGGUUAUUGGGUUCUUUUUUUUCAUCAUGUUCUUCAUUUUAUACAGAGAUAAUCUUUUAUUUUUUAUUUGUCAUUGUUUCUGAUAGUCGAGUGAUCCUGCUCUUUUCCUUUAAAGUUUAUUGUUUGUGUUUCUUGGUCAAUCAUUAAGAACAAAGAAGAUACAAAAUGAAGCAUAGUGAAAUUUUGGGGGCUUUUAUAUAUCCUUCUAACUUUUUGGGGUCAAUUUCAUUUUUUGUGUAGUUUCAUUUAACUAUCAGAAUUCAGACAUGGUUUGAUACAGGAUAACUAAUGAUGAUGCUUUUGAAGCAUCUUCUUUUCUAUAAGGGUCUUUAUGUGCUUCCUUUUUUUUUUUUAAUUUGGUGAGAUGUUUUCUCAAUGUGGAUAUUCCAUUCAAGUAGGUGUCUGAUUUCAGCUCUUUCUUUCUCUCUUUUAUUGCAAUGCAAUGAUCCUGUUCUUGGAAUCUAACAUCCUCUCAUCUUUUUUUAUAUACUUGCUAUGAUGACACCAAAUAUACAUCUGUUUACUUAGAUUCAAUUCUUUUCAAUUCUUGCAUGCUGGUAAAUUACAAUUGAGUUAGGUUGUCCUUUCUUAUUAGUAAGUAACCUUUUGAUUUGACCUUAAAUUCACUUGUUUUCCCUUCUUUUUUGGGUCUCUUUAUAAGCUUUUAUGUGCUCACCUUUUUUUUUUUUUUGGCAGUUGCUAUAGAGGCCCCCACCCAAAGUCCAUGGAUGUUUACUCGGAAUCCAUUCCUGUGAUGGUGGUAAAUUGCAAUUAAUUAAGCUUGAUUCUUCUUUGACAGAUUUUUUCCGAGGGUUUUCAUUUUGAAAGGCUAACAGGUUCUUAUACAGUUUUUUCCUACUUGAAAAUUGGGGUUUUUCCACUUCUUGGUUAUCGAUCAGUUUCUUGUUUUUCAUCAUGUUAUGCAUAGAUAAUCUUUAGAAUCUUUUGGUUUUGUUUAUUUGAAAUAGUUUUUGAUAGUCGAUUGAUCCUGCUCUUUAAUCUUCUUAAGUUCAUUGUUUGGGUUUCUUGGUCAAUCAUUAAGAACAAGAAGAUAGAAUGAAUCAGAAUAAAUUUUUUGGGGGUUUUCCCCUUCUAUCGUAGGGAGGGUUUGAUGAAUAUUUCUGAAAAUAGUUGAGAGAUGUGUCUUGUUUCGUAAUGCUUUGUUAGAUGGCUUAUCUGUCCCAUAUAAAUAUAUUAUUUUUUGAAUUUAUUCAUCUACAAGCGUGUUUUCUUCAUGGGUUUCUCUAGAUGAGCAAUUCCAAGUUAUUUUUAUGUGCUUUGUUGUAGGAGUAGAAAUAAAGGGAUAUCACAUAUAUAACAGUUAUUUUUCUUCAAUGAUAUAGGUUCAGUGAUUAUCUCCACUAAUUAACCUGUUUAUUUUGUGGAUAUUAUAUAUAUACCUUACAGGAUUGAAGUAUCUUUGUUUCCAUUUUGGUCUUUAUGUGCAUGUUUUCUCUCUUUUGUUGCAGUGUAAAGAUUCUGUUCUUGAAAUCUGAGAUUAUUAACAACCUUUUGAUUGUGAAUCUUAAGAUCAUCUCAUUCAGUCAUAUUUCUUCUCUAUUUUUACAUGUUUCAGAUCUAGAUUAUCUGUUUAUAACAGUGUAAUGAAGUCUAAGUUAUUCACUACUGAUUUGAACUUAAGUUCACUUUCUUUUCCCUUAUUAUGCAAGCUUUUGUGUGGUCACCUUUUUAUAGUUUCCAGUUAAAUGUUUUUCCUUUCCGAGUUCUUUCUGUGUUGCUCAUAUAUGUUUGUAGACUAUUUUCACGUGUUUAGGUUAUUAAUUAUCUUUAUUUUGUUGGCUAAGCUUUUAAUGUAUUCUGUUGUUGUUUAAAAGAUAAAGGGACAUCAGUGUCACUAUUUAGUACCAUAUUCAUGCUAUGGAAUGUAUAUUUAGUGUUUCUUUUUGGCUUAAUGGGCUAAGCACUUAAUCUGGAGAGCUAUAUAUGAUUGUUUGUUUUUUAGUUUAAUCUGGACAGAAUGACUUAACUGAUAAAGCCAAGAAAACCUAACUUAAUAUAUUAAGACACUAACACUAUACAUAUUUAUAUUUUGUUAAAAUGUUGAAUAUGUAUUCGUUUUUUAAAAAUUGAGGGUGAUAUUUUCAUUUAAAAUAUUAGCAUGAGAUUGAUAAGCUUAGGCAUGGUGGUGAUAUUGAAGUGUCUUUAUGGUGGUUUAAUUAUAUAGGUAAGUUAUUUGCGACUUCUCUUCCAUUAUUAACCUUUUUAUUUUGAAUCUUAUGAUGACUAAAUGUUUUUUACUCAUAUUUAGUUCUCAUCAAGUCUUCAUUCAGAAUUAAGCAGUGUAGAUUGUUAGCCUUUUGAAUUUUAAUAUUAAGAGCAUCUCAUUCUUUUUCUACAGUUCCUAUGGUGGCAACAAAUGCAUGUAUGGAUCCAAAGAUUCAAUUCUUGUCUGGGGUUUUUUUCAUUAUGAAUCUUAAUAACUUGUAACUUAUUUAUUAUAAUACAGGUGUGCUAUAUAUAGUGGAGGAAAAUACUGAAAGUCAGCUCUUGUCAACUGCAGUUUGUCUGUUGCUAUGGGGGCACCAAUUACACAUAUGUUUAUUCAAUUGCUAUAGAGGCCCCAUUCCUGUGAUGCUGGAAGGACAUUAUGUUCAAAACAACUCGACUAAUAGCCUGAAUAUGAUGUCCCUCUUGUAGACUAUUUUCAUGUGUUUAGGUACCACUUUCAGUUGUGAUGAUGCAUGGUGACACAAAAUGCAUGAGACAGAUGGGAGUCUGACUAAAUCUAAUGAAUUUAAAGCAUCUUCUUUUCUAUAAUGGUCUUAAUGUGUUUUGCUUUUUUGGGUUUCUGGCUGAAAGUUGUGGAGCACAAGCACAAGCAUGAGACUUCUCCUUCCAUUAUGGUUGUUUCUAAGCUCUCAUGAAGAAUAAUUUGAUAGGAGCAACACAACUGGGGAGCACAUACAUGUUAUUAUGUAUAUAGCAAAAAUGCAAGGUUGAGAGAGUCUAUAGUGGAGGAAAACACACAUAUAUGCUCACUGAAAGUCAGUUCUUGUCAACUGAUGCUUGCUGGUAUAAAUUGCAGUUUGUCUGGUUUGUCCAUUCUUAUUUACCUCUAUUUUAUAGAUUUUACAUUUUUUUUUCCUUCAAAUUAAUCUUCUUUAAACGGUUUAUGAUCUAACCCCAUAUUAAUAUAUCUUCAUUUGCUAAAUAACCUUUUAGAUUUGUUGAUGAGUAAGCAAGCCCAAAAAAUGUGUCUUCAACCCAUGUCUAUGUAUUUCAUAUAAGGCUUUUUGCUUUUAAAAAUCUAUCAUAUUUUUCAACAUGAAGGCAUUUUCUUUUGAAAAAUCAAACCAAACAUGACAUCAUAUCUUCAUUUUUUACAUAAUAAGCACACUUCCCUUUAAAAACUCAACCCAUUUAUAGCAUUGCACUUUUUAGUUUUAUUUGUGUUAAAACGUUGCAACUCUCGAUGCAUUUUACUUUGAAAAAUAUUCAUCUUUUUCUAUGGUUGCUAUACCAAAUGUACAUCAUCUGUUUACUUAGAUUCAGUUCUUGUCAACUCUUGCAUACUGGUAAAUUACAAUUCAGUUCUUGGAUUUUAAGAUUAUAAUUAAUUAACCUGUUGAUUGUGAAUCUUAAGUUCACUUUGUUUUCCCUUCUUUUUCGUGUCUCUCUAUAAGGUUUUACGUGCUCACCUAUUUAUAGUUUUUACUAGUUUCCAGUUUAUUAUUUUCCCUUUUUGAGUUCUUUCCAUGACCUUUUUUAUGUUGUUAUACAUGAGCUAUGCAGUAAUAUAUUAUUUGCCUUCUUAUCUGGAGAUGGAAAUUGUUCACUUCUCUUGAAUGUGUAUCAUUUUUCUUGAAAUCUUGAUUGUUAAACUUUUAAUUAUGAAUGCUAAGAUCAUUUGUGCUUUUUUCUUUAAUUCAUAUUGUACUGCUUAAUGCAUGUGGAUUUUUUUCUUGUCGAUUCAUAAAUGGUGUUAAAUUGCAAUUGAGAUAGUUUGUUGUU